UUACAUUAUAUUAAAAAAUAGGCGUAUAUAUGGAAAUAAAUAUAUACAUAAGUAUACAUAUAUAAAAAAGAAAAGAAAAUAAUUACAUAUGAAAAUAAUAAUUACCUUAUUAAUUAAUGAAAAAAAAAACUAAAUCGAAUUGUAAAACAAGAAUCUGGGGCAAUUUCGCAAAUAAUUGAAGAUCGGAGGACCUUAUUGAAC
rnacentral:lncRNA from 1 species